UGGUGAAAUCAAAUUCGAGUAAAUUGGACAUUGUUCCGCAACCAAUUUCCAAUAAAAUUAAUGCGAUUAAACAUACUCGGAGGAUACAUUCCGAUGUUCAGCACAAGAUAGGCAAGUUCACAUAAGGCACUGUAAUACCCUCAAAACACUUGAAAUUCAUGUUCCACGAAGCAAAGUAAGAUACGCUAAAGCAAAACGUCAGGAUUCGCAUCCGCACUUAAGCAACGGCAUCGAGGAAAGCCUUCCCAGGAGCACGCUUCUCAAGUCUGCCGUGGUUGCCGAGCAGCUGUAAAAGGUAGGGAGAAGAUAACAUUAGAUUAUGGACUGCCCUCGUAGAUGAGAGAGCAAACAUUAGAAGACUGCUCAGAGAUGUAAAGGUAGAAACUGUUAUCAAGCAUGGAUCGUCCAAAAUAAAAAAAAUACGCAUUAUCCAAGGGAAAACGAUGGUGUACCUUUGCGUUGACACCAUCAGGAACAAUUCUGCCCUCGCUCUUGUACUUCAGGUAGUCAGCGCGGCUGAACUUGGUGAAGCCCCUGAACAAGAUAGUGCACAUUAUAAACAAUAAUAAUACAAAAUAACUUAUGCAAGUUACUAUACUGUGACAGUUUAAUUCCACAGCAGCAAUGAACUAUUAUGCACUCACCACUUUCUGCUCUCAAUGAUCUUUUGGCGGCCAGGGAACUUGAACUUAGCGCGACGCAGAGCUUCGCUGGCAUGGGCAGCAUUGUUGUCCUUGCAUCGCACGGAAAGGAGGACCUGACCAAUGUCCACCCUAGCACAGGUGCCCUGAGGCUUGCCAAAGGCACCCCUCAUUCCAGUCUGGAGCCUAUCAGCCCCGGCACAGGAAAGCAUCUUGUUGAUACGGAGGACAUGGAACGGGUGAACCCGGACCCUAAGGUGGAAGGCAUCCUUUCCUGCAGACUUGGUCAUGUACUUGUUGCAGGCAAUGCGGGCAGCCUCGAGCGCCUCACUGGAGACAUUCUCCUUCUCCCAAGAGACAAGGUGCACACAGUAGGGGAACUCAUCAACACCCUUCCUCUUCAUCCCGACAUCGUAGAUCCUGAUCUUGGGGUCAGGGACACCACGGCAGUACCUGGACUUAGGGUACGGCUUGU
rnacentral:lncRNA from 1 species